rnacentral:lncRNA from 1 species
AUACAUACAUACAUACAUACAUACCCAGCCGGCACACGACCGACCUUCAACGUUGAAAUAUGGUUGAAAUAAGGUCAGAUGUGUUUUAAACGUUGAAAUAAUGUUGAUAGAACGUUUAAUGUUGAACGGUUGAAAAACAGCCUGCAUAUGACAAGGCUUCAACGUUGGAAUGUGGUUGAAAAUACGUAAGUAGUUGCUUUAAUGUUGAAACAAUGUUGAAUGAUAAAUGGUUGAAAAAAGUUACAGAAAUCCUUGUACAAAUCAACGUUGACAUUUUUUUUAUCAUGAUCUGUAUGUUGAAUUAACGUCAUGGCUUCACCCAAUAUUCAACAUGUUUGGUUACCAUGGUAUCGGAAGACUCGGCGCACGCGGCCGCGCGCAGCGCUUCACUUCACUUAAUUACGAACACCUGACCUGCAGUGCAGCAGAAUUCAGAGACAUGUAACUUACUCCAGAGACGCACUAACUUGCACAGCAUUGAAUGGAAAAGGCUUUGUCCAUAUCCAGUUGAGGGGCAUCAAGAACACGCAGAUGGCCUAAACCUGUGUCAGCCUGGACAGACUGCAGUUCUGCUACUCCACGCCAAGGCUUUUGUAUGGAUGUCUGACUACUACUGUGUUCUCUAAAGGUUUUCUGGAAGCUCCAUUUGAGGUCAUCAAGGACAUACUGAUGGCCUAAACCAGUGUCAGCCUAGACAGACAGACAGACAUCUAUUGCAGUUCUGCUACACAAGACCAAACUCUCUGCUUUUGUAUGGAUGUCUGACUAGUACGGUGUUCUCUAAAGGUAUAACUGGAGCAAAACAACAGCAUCUGUUACAGUGAAAUUUGUGUUCAUAAAAGAUAUGUGUAACAGGUCCAGUACAUUUGUCAUAAAGUUUAAAUCACAGUAAGUACUGUAAAAAUAACUUGUUUGCCUUUGCCACAACAGGUCAUAUAUACGCUAACACAUUUGUAUUUACUGUUUUGUUUUGCCUCACUAAAGUGUUGUUGCAGCUUGGUAUGUUCACAGUUGAAAUCACUGAAGUCACAUGGAACGUUUUGACAAUGUGUUUUGUGCCUUAUCUUGACAAUGACCAUCUUGGGACUAUUGCUGUCUGUAGAGGAUGAGGAGCAUUUAAUCUAAAAUAUUUUAGUUUGUGUUCUGAAGAUUAACAGGUCUCUGGGAUGACACAAGUACUUAAUAACAGAACCUAUAUGAACAGUUAAUGUGACAUGUAAUAGUGAAAUAGUGGUCCUACAUUCACAAAUGUGAGCCAUUAUUAUAAGACCCAUGUGAACAUGCAAUUUUUAUGAUACUAAUAAUAAUAGAAUAACAAAUUGCUUUUACUGUUGUGUUUGUGAGAGAGAAUCAAACUAUAUAUUCUACACAUUUUCUUGAUGAUUUACUGAAAUAUUUGUCUACAUGUUCCACUGUCACAGGUGCUCAGUUUUGCUGCAGUAAUGCUAAACACAAUAGAUGUACUUUAUGCAAAAAAAAAAAAAAAAACUACUAAAUAUUUAGCAUGCAGACCUGCAAAGUGAAGGAGUAAUGUCAGGUUUAGAUUAUAGCAUGAGUUUUCACUAUUGUGAAAGUGAAGCCAUUCAUUCACAAUGAAUUGGAAUAGCAAACCUCGUUAUUGAUUUUGUAGGAAACUCACCUGGUGUUUGAGAAAUAAAUAUUUAUUUAACUGCUAGACUGAUAUAGAUGUUUAAGUGUUUUACACUUGAUUCUUUGUCCCAGUGCCAUCUUUUACCUCAAGUUUUUCUCCCAACCUAUAAAACCUCAAACAGAUGUAAUGUAUUUCACUUGUGAUUCUUAGUUGUGAGUGAUGUUUUUUAUUUUAUUUUUUUUACUGCAGCCACUUUAAAAAUGGGUAUUUUGUAAACUUUGUAAACGGAAUUGUAUUUUGGAGACUGUGAUGGUUGAAGCGUAGUUUAGUUACUUAGUAUCUUUCUUUCUGAAGACAGUAACACUUUACAAUAAGGUUGUAUUAAUAAGUGUUAAUGUAUUUGCUAACAUGAACAAAGAACAAUAAAGCAUCUUUCAUAUAAAGAAAGUACAGUUCAUGUCAGCUCAGUGCAUUAAUGUUAACAAGCAUGCAUUUUGAUUUUAAUAGCAUCGGGACAUAUUUCAAUUAAUUAAAUGAUUAAUAAAUGCUGUACAAGUAUUUGUUCUUUGUUCAUGUUAGUAAACAUUAACUAACUUUAAUUCAUGAAACUUAAUUAAAAAGUGACUAUUUAAUUGUAUGCCUUUUUCUGUAUUUGAGCAUGUAUAGUAACCUGCAUGGUUUUAAUGAACUAUGUAUGCUGUAAAUGUUGCUGUAUAUUUAGAAUAAUUGAAAUAAUGAGGUGUGUAUUAAAUAAAUUGAUACACAAACUAA